GACGAACGCUGGCGGCGUGCCUAAUACAUGCAAGUAGAACGCUGAAGAGAGGAGCUUACUCUUCUUGGAUGAGUUGCGAACGGGUGAGUAACGCGUAGGUAACCUGCCUUGUAGCGGGGGAUAACUAUGGGAAACGAUAGCUAAUACCGCAUAACAAUGGAUGACACAUGUCAUUUAUGUGAAAGGGGCAAUUGCUCCACUACAAGAUGGACCUGCGUUGUAUUAGCUAGUAGGGGAGGUAAUGGCUCACCUAGGCGACGAUACAUAGCCCACCUGAGAGGGUGAUCCGCCACCCUUGGACCUGGACACGGCCCCGACUCCUUCGGGAGGCAGCAGUAGGGAAUCUUUGCGCAUGGGGGCAACCCUGACCGAGCAACGCCGCGUGAGUGAAGAAGGUUUUCGGGUCGUAAAGCUCCGUUGUAAGUCAAGAACGGGUGUGGGAGUGGAAAGUUCACACUGUGACGGUAGCUUACCAGAAAGGGACGGCUAACUACGUG
rnacentral:rRNA from 1 species